rnacentral:lncRNA from 1 species
GCCAGGUGGGUCUCCAACUCCUGACCUCAGGUGAUCGGCCCACCUCGGCCUCCCAAAGUGCUGGGAUUACAGGCGUGAGCCACCGCACCUGGUCUGUGCACUUGUUUUGGGCAGUGUCAGCCACAGUCAGAUUCUUUGUGAUGAGGAGGGCUUGAUCUCACAAGUUCCCUUCUUCAUCCUCAGGACUUCCGACAGAGAGCCAGAUGUCCAAGGCAGAACGACUACAAUUCCCCCAACACCAGAUUGGAUAAUUUCAUUGCUCUAUCUUCAAAUGCACUGAUUCUUUUUUUCUUCUGCUGCCUCAGAUCUGCUUUGGGCCCAUCUAGUGAUUCUUUUUCCAUUUUGUUUAUUGUACUUUUCAACUCUAGACUUUCCAUUUGGUGCAUCUUUAAAGUUUCUAUUUCUCCAUUGAGAUUCCUUUUUUGAGUCAUUGUCAUCAUAUUUUCCUUCAAUUCUUUGAACAUAGUUUCCUUUCAUUCUUCAAACAUUUAUGAUAGUUGUUUUUUUUUUUUAAUUUUUCUCCCAGCCACAGCAUUGAUAGUUGUUUUAAAGUCCUGUCUGCUUAAUCACUCUGGGUCCACUCAGGUCAGUUUCUAUAGAUUGUUUUGAGUUAUUUUUUCCUCCUAAAUAUGGAUUACAUUUUCCUAUUUCUUUGCAUGCCCGACUUUUUUUUUUUUUUUGAGACGGAGUCUCGCUCUGUCAUCCAGGCUGGAGUGUAGUGGCAUUAUCUUGGCUCACUGCAGCCUCUGCCUCUUGGGUUCGAGUAGUUCUCCUGCCUCAGCCUCCUAAGUAGCUGGGAUUACAGGCG